rnacentral:rRNA from 1 species
AAAUAGAUCACUUCUCUCACAGUCACACCCGCACCUUCACACACUCACACUCACACGUAGCUCUUACUUUUUUACCCCUAAAAAGAAGCUCUUAUUUUCUUUUGAAGAACCCACGUAGCUCUUACCUUAUCCCCUUUCCAUCUCCUAUCCUCUCGCUACAAAAUUGCUUCCACCUGAGCGCUGCGGAUUUAAUUCCCAACAACACCUGAAUUUCCCCUCUUGAUUCCUUGUUGUGACCUUGCUCGUCCUCACCUGCACGCAACUCUGCAGUUCAGCUGACCGACGCGGACACUGGAUGAGGCUUGUUUGGCUCCCUGUAUGCCUCCUCGAUCCCUCAGGUCGGUCAAUGACGACGGAGGGUUAGUAUGGCUCGAUGAGAAGCUGCGCGAUGCGAGCUUGUCGACCUUGACAGUGCCUUUGUUGUCGGCGAGGCGAUGUGAGCGUGGAUCUCGUCUCCCGCAGCAAGCUUGGAUCCACCUCGAUUGUGAGGAACUGAUUGUCCCCGAGCAAGGCAGCCUGGCUUGUCGUCUUCAUCCUGCCGCCUGACUUCAGUGGCUCAUUAUUCUACCUAAUUAAAGAAGAUCAACUUCUAAGACCAGCAGAUGUUAAGUUCCAAUCUUCAUGUGAAAACACAUAUUAUCCAAUUUUGCGCCGCUGAAGAUCGCCACCGCCUCGGUCAAUGGCGCCCCCGUGCAGGUCUCCCACGCCCGCUGCGCUCCCCAUCGGCUGCUCUCCAAGUCUACCGCUAGGACGAUUGGCCCUUCCGCAAAGACCGUCGCCGCCGCGUGACGACCACCGUCCCGAUUCAUCAGUCGCUGCUUUCUGCACUCGUGUUCCCGUGUGCAACCGCUUCUCACUCGCGUGCGUCCGCUCAUGCAGCCAUGCAGGCGUGUUCCUCUCCUGCUUUUGCUUCCGUGUGCGUGGCUGCUGCUAUCUCUACACUGGCUGUUGCAUGCUUGCCUGCGUUGACGCUGUUCUCUCAUUGCUGAUGCUAGGUGCUACUGCUUGCUGUUACGCCCUGCGCGCAGCCUAGUUUUUGGUGUGUUUUGGUGAUGCAUGAUAUGUCAUUGCAAGUUUGUUCCUUCUAAAAAGAAGUCCAAUGUCUCUUACAUCACAUCUAGUCCAGUGUGCUUUUUAGCUUCCUAGUUUCUAGUAUAAUUUCCGCUGCGUCCAUCAAAUCCGUUGAUAUUUUGUGUUUUCUCAUGUCAUGUGAGUCCAUACCUCUGUCCGUCAGCCUUUUUCUGGUCAUUGUCCUUUGUAUAGGAUUUCUGUGGCCUCUCUUUGCAUUGUUGAUCUAAGCCCAUUCUCUUGCCGCCGAGCUUCUUUCGCCGUCGGUUUUCAUGGGCCAUGAGUCUUUAAGCAAUGCUUCUUCUUCUCUUGAUGUGCCAUCUUCUUUCGACAACCCAUCUUCUCUUGAUACUUCUAUUGUAUCUUCUAUCGAUGUGGUGUCUUCCUCUGAUGUGCCAUCUCUUUGUUAUCUCCCUUGGAGACUCGACAGGUUUUGAAGACUCUUCAUGCUACGACGACACUCUCAAGACGCGGAUUUGGAUUAUCAUUUUUUUUAGUAUUACACUUCUUCAAAUGCAAUGCUAUUGCAUACGCUUUGCAUUUGAGGGGGGGUGUUAAGGAGUAUCAGUAUUGGUUUAGGAGUCCUUAUUAGUCUAUGUUUAGUUUUCUUACACCUCAAGUCAUGUGUAAUAUAUAUAUGCCCCUUGGGCCUCAAUAAAGAUAAGUUGCUUUCCUAACAGUACUAUCGUUUCUACUCUUGCUUUUGACAAAAGAUUAAGCUUUAUUUUAGUUCUAUAUGAUAUCUUGCUGGAGGUGGUCUGCUCGCUCGAUGGAGCCGAUGACGCAAUCGAGGAAAUUGGGGUACUCACUCGUGGGAGUUCCUUUUUCUUAGGGAAAGCCAUCAUGGCGGUAUAUAUUGAUCUGUAAUAAACAUAGCACGAAUAAAAUUGUUUCAUGUAAACUUUGUCAUUGGAAGCUUGUAUAUAUUUCAGGCUAUCCUUUAUAGAUAUAAAAAACUAUCAUAGUGUUAUAUGGGAGGUGGCAGUUAGUAGCCUAAAAUGACAACAACCAAUUCAUAACCUAUGUGUUUACUGUAUCUUUAGAUUAAAUAUUGAUCCAAUUUCUCUUUUUUUAGGGAAAGCCAUCAUGGUGGUGUAUAUUGAUCUGGAAUAAUAGCUGCACCACUGCAAGAACAGCAACUAAAAAUCCUGUAAGGUUGCAUGUGAUGGAUAUGAGUCCAACCUAUCUUGAGUUUUGUUUUUGGGGUCGUGAGAUUGGUGUAAAGAAUAUGUAAGAUUAUUGUGAGAUUGGUGUAAAGGACAUGCAUGCAGAUGAUUGAUGUAGGGCUGGAUAGUUUGGGAGAAGCGAUCAGCGUACCAACCUUGGUCUUGGCCGCUGCUCAUGCUGCAUAUUGUUCUGCGAGCCACCAUGUAGGAGGCGACAUGUGCCUGCCAGCCCUCUCUAUUUGGGUCUUGCUUUUGUUUGUAUCCGUAAAAAAAGACCUGAGGAGGAAGGACGUAGCCUGAAUUCCUGAAAGCCUGGAUCGUUGCGUGGUAGUGCCCUAAGCCAAUGGCGAUGAAGAUGGCGUGGCUUGGCGAUGAAGAUGGUGUCGCCAAGCUAGGGUUUCUUGUGAUUUUUUAGCUUGUUUCUUGCUGUCUGGUCGUUCACCUUGAUAGCAUAUAAUUUUUUUAGAGGAAAAGGUAAGAGGUGAGGAAAGGACGGUCUGGCAAUGGUGGGUAAUUUUCAAAUUAAAUCUG